AGCAGCCGCGGUAAUUCCAGCUCCAAUAGCGUAUAAUAAAGUUGUUGCAGUUAAAAAGCUCGUAGUUGAAUUUCGGGAUCAUCAGGUUGGUCGUGCCUCUGGUAUGUACUUUCCUCGAUGGUUCCUCCUUCUUGAAGAACCGUAAUGCCAUUAAUUUGGUGUUGCGGGGAAACAGGACUGUUACUUUGAAAAAAUUAGAGUGUUUAAAGCAGGCAAUCGCUUGAAUACAUUAGCAUGGAAUAAUGAAAUAGGACGUUCGAUCCUAUUUUGUUGGUUUCUAGGAUUGACGUAAUGAUUAAUAGGGAUAGUUGGGGGCAUUAGUAUUCAAUUGUCAGAGGUGAAAUUCUUGGAUUUAU
rnacentral:rRNA from 1 species